GGUGAACGCUGGCGGUAGGCCUAACACAUGCAAGUCGAACGGCAGCACAGGAGAGCUUGCUCUCUAGGUGGCGAGUGGCGGACGGGUGAGGAAUACAUCGGAAUCUGCCCAGUCGUGGGGGAUAACGUAGGGAAACUUACGCUAAUACCGCAUACGACCUUCGGGUGAAAGAGGGGGAUCGCAAGACCUCUCGCGAUUGGAUGAGCCGAUGUCGGAUUAGCUAGUUAGCGGGGUAAUGGCCCACCAAGGCGACGAUCCGUAGCUGGUCUGAGAGGAUGAUCAGCCACACUGGAACUGAGACACGGUCCAGACUCCUACGGGAGGCAGCAGUGGGGAAUAUUGGACAAUGGGCGCAAGCCUGAUCCAGCCAUACCGCGUGGGUGAAGAAGGCCUUCGGGUUGUAAAGCCCUUUUGUUGGGAAAGAAAUCUUUCAGGCUAAUACCCUGGGAGGAUGACGGUACCCAAAGAAUAAGCACCGGCUAACUUCGUG
rnacentral:rRNA from 1 species